rnacentral:rRNA from 1 species
AAUUGAUCAGGACGUGCUUGCACUGAAUGAGAUUUUAACACGAAGUGAGUGGCGGACGGGUGAGUAACACGUGGGUAACCUGCCCAGAAGCAGGGGAUAACACCUGGAAACAGAUGCUAAUACCGUAUAACAGAGAAAACCGCCUGGUUUUCUUUUAAAAGAUGGCUCUGCUAUCACUUCUGGAUGGACCCGCGGCGCAUUAGCUAGUUGGUGAGGUAACGGCUCACCAAGGCGAUGAUGCGUAGCCGACCUGAGAGGGUAAUCGGCCACAUUGGGACUGAGACACGGCCCAGACUCCUACGGGAGGCAGCAGUAGGGAAUCUUCCACAAUGGACGCAAGUCUGAUGGAGCAACGCCGCGUGAGUGAAGAAGGGUUUCGGCUCGUAAAGCUCUGUUGUUAAAGAAGAACGUGGGUGAGAGUAACUAUUCACCCAGUGACGGUAUUUAACCAGAAAGCCACGGCUAACUACGUGCCAGCAGCCGCGGUAAUACGUAGGUGGCAAGCGUUAUCCGGAUUUAUUGGGCGUAAAGCGAGCGCAGG